rnacentral:rRNA from 1 species
CCUACGGGAGGCAGCAGUGGGGAAUAUUGCACAAUGGGGGAAACCCUGAUGCAGCAACGCCGCGUGCGUGAAGAAGUAUUUCGGUAUGUAAAGCUCUAUCAGCAGGGAAGAAGAUGACGGUACCUGAGUACGAAGCCCCGGCUAACUACGUGCCAGCAGCCGCGGUAAUACGUAGGGGGCAAGCGUUAUCCGGAUUUACUGGGUGUAAAGGGAGCGUAGACGGUGGGACAAGUCUGAAGUGAAAGCCCGGGGCUCAACCCCGGGACUGCUUUGGAAACUGCCUGACUUGAGUGCUGGAGAGGCAAGCGGAAUUCCUAGUGUAGCGGUGAAAUGCGUAGAUAUUAGGAAGAACACCAGUGGCGAAGGCAGCUGGCUGGACAGUAACUGACGUUGAGGCUCGAAAGCGUGGGGAGCAAACAGGAUUAGAUACCCCAGUAGUC